CCACGGCGCCCCAGCCCGAGGCCUGGCGCAGAGCAGCGGGAGGCGGCGCAGGCCGCGGCGGGGCCUGCAGCGGCCCGCCGACCCCGCGAGGCAGCGGAGUGGGCCCUGGAGCGGCUCAGCCUCGGGCUGGGCGGCCAGGGGCUGCCGGGGACGGCCCCUCGGCUACUUACCGGGAGGAAGUAGAGCCCGGAUCCCGGGGACCCGGGCCGGACCGCGGAGAUGCCCCAAACUGACACGGCCGCCAUCUUGGAGACAUGCUCAGCCCUCUGUUGGAGAUUCUGCCUCCCCUGGGUCGGGUGUCCCUCCCUCUGUGUCCUUGCACCUCCGGGUACAACUCACCCCUUUGCUGGUGUGUGAGGUGGUCACAGUGGUGGGCUUCCUGGAUAAAACCUGAAGUUGAGGCUUCCUCAUUGAAGUGUUGCAGAUCACAUCCUCAGGGUCCAUGCGGUUCAGCUGCUCCCCAAACACACGAGGCCGGGCCUUCCUUGUCAAUAAGCCAUCACAGCUCUGGGCAAACCCGUGGAAGACCUCCUUAAACAUGAAGCUGGUCAAACUUCAUGAAGACAUUGGAUGUGGCCCACUGUGGCCUCUCGGUGGUCUGGCCGUGGCCUACCUGCUGGACAGCUUGGCUUCCUGGUGCAGAGAAGGCGCUGGGCUGGGUAUGUGGGGCGGGGCCAGCCAUCAGGUGUGGGCUCUCAUAUGGCAAUUCUAUGUUUAACUUAUUGAAGACCCACCAAACUGUUUUAUACAGCCACUGCACCAUUUUA
rnacentral:lncRNA from 1 species